rnacentral:hammerhead_ribozyme from 1 species
AUCCAGUUGACGAGUCCCGAAUAGGACGAAACGCACGUCUUGGAU